UACGAAGGGGGCUAGCGUUGCUCGGAAUCACUGGGCGUAAAGCGCACGUAGGCGGCUUUUUAAGUCAGGGGUGAAAUCCUGGAGCUCAACUCCAGAACUGCCUUUGAUACUGGGAAGCUCGAGUCCGGGAGAGGUGAGUGGAACUCCGAGUGUAGAGGUGAAAUUCGUAGAUAUUCGGAAGAACACCAGUGGCGAAGGCGGCUCACUGGCCCGGUACUGACGCUGAGACGCGAAAGCGUGGGGAGCGAACAGG
rnacentral:rRNA from 1 species